rnacentral:lncRNA from 1 species
GGAGAAUCCAGUAGGGGGCAGAAGAGACCAGCAGUAGAGGAAGCCUGAGGAGGAACUGGCUGGAGCUCUUCAGAAGAGAAAGGCCAAGACCCAGGGGAGGGCUCUGGUGGCCGGGCAGAAGGCGGUGCAGGGGCCUGACUCUGGUUUUGCAUCCCUGUGGGUACUCACUCACCUGUGGGACUGUGGGUAGGACCAAGAACAAAACCACUGAGCCUGCAAUGAAUGUUUGUGCUGAGGACCGAGACCAGCUGUGUCAAUGUUAACUGCUGGUUCCAGGAUACUCUUUCCCAGGUGGAUGAGGGUGAAAACAAUAAAGAAUGUCACUCAUUGCUUCAGGGAAUUCCUGAAAACCAAUUAUCCAGGUGAUGCUGGCUGUCUGUCCUGGGGACACGGACACUGAGGGUGGCUGAGUCAGCUCAUAGGAGGCCACGGAUCCUACAGGAGAGAAAACGGGAGAGAAAAGGCUUGAAACUGAGGAGCUGAACUCCAAGUAGUAUGAUGUCCUGCCCAUGUGGCCAUUCCUUGUCCUGCGUGGAGAUGGCCAGGGACUGACUUACAAUGGCGACUGAGGGAUUAUUCUGAGAUCUAAGGUACUUCCUCUGUUGAAUACUGGCUCAGAAUAACUUGGGUAAUUGAGGACUCCAGGGGUGUCCUGUCCCUAAAUAUUUUGUGGCAAAAUCCAGAAGUUAGGUGUGGUUCUAGCUCCCCCUCUGGAGGGCACUUUUCAACCCAGUGCAGUGACCCUCAUGACCCCACUCUACAGGUGACACCGUAAGGCUGGCACACAUGCAGGGACCUGCCAUUGCUUCUGAGUGGUGCUUUCCACAAUCAAACUUCACCCUUGUCAUGUGCACACGGAGUGUUGAAAGACUCAGGAGAUGCUGUCCCUGAUUCCCUGGUCUGCAGACUGCUGGUGCCAAUGGAGGAAAUUUUUCUCUUCUCUUUGUGACUCAUGCCUGCCUCAAUACCAGGACCAGCGUACAGUGGUGACUCCUGCACCAAAGUCAGAGACAGAAGAACAUCCACCCAUCAAAUGUUAAUCCAGACCCACUGUGGUCUGGGACACGUUCCAUGCGGUGAAUUCAGCAGGAACAAGACACAGCCUUCUUGAAGUGAGUUGUUCAUCGUGCUGGUUUGGCUGUGCAGGAAAACUGGGUUUGCAGACCCAGCAGACAGUCCCUGUCACCUUCCACCUGAGCACUGUCUUCUAUAUUCACCGAAAAGACUGGUGCCUGUGAUUCCCAGGUCCUGCUCAGCUGGGAUUGACCAUGUGACUCAGGCCUGAUCAGUGGGGUGUGAGAUCAGUGGGUGAAAUUCUUCUUAGGAAAGCUUUGCUCUUGUGAAAGAGCACUAGAUUCAUGAGGCCCUUUUCUCCUUGAAUAUGGGAGUGAUAGCUGGAGCUGCAGCAGCCACCCUGAGGUCACACAUCAGCAGGGAUGAAAAUAAAGCCAAUAUCAUAGGGAUGGUGGGACAAAAAGUGAGAAAGACCCUGGUGUCUUCGUGAAAGUGGUGGGUAUUAUUGCAGCGAGAAAUACACCCUUAGCUGUUUGUGUCUGUUUUUUAUGUGUGAUUCUGUGGUAAAAAAGCAUCCAUGACCAAUUAAGUAAAUAUUUAACACCAAUCAAUUAAUAAAAUUAACAAUAGGCAAAGAUUCCUACAGUUGUAAAUGCUAUGGGGAUAAUUAAAAAGAUUUAGGCAGAAAAUAACAGACAGGUUGUAUUAUAAGAGCCUGGGGACAUCUUAAUGGGGAAGUGUCUCUGGAACUGCUGUCAGGACUGACAGAGAAAAAUGAGUCCUGGGAUUUGUGUUGGAAACAGUGGAGUCAGGCCCCUGUGGAAAGAGUCUGGCAUGUGUGAGGACCUGAGAGGUCAGCGGCAAACCUGAAAGGGGUCCUGGAUUCAGGCCAUUUCGGCUAAUUGUGCCAUUUUAAUAAAUUAGUAAUUUGGGGGCAGGAGUCAUGUGUGGUCAGGUGUGGUGAAGGGAAAUUUACAGGUAAUUAAUCAAGUUCUUUGGCAGCUGCUUAGCACAUAUAGGGGCUUCCAGGAUGGUGCUGCUGGGGCAGUGACAGGAGAGUCCCCGGUGGGUUGAGCCCAGCCCACUGACCCCUCCCUAGUUCACCUGGGGCUGAAGACACUCAGGGGAGUGGUUCCUGGUUUCUUACCUCCACCUGGUGCCCACCAUGCUGCUCUGUGGGGACCCCCACUGCUGUCUGUGUUUCUGGUCCUGGGCUCGCUGUCUUGAAUUCCAUGUGGGUGACCAGCACUGCUUUCCCUAAAAUUCUACAGAUACAGGACCUAGGAACACAAAAUCUGCAAACUGCACUUAACACAAAAGGGAAGGGGCUGAGAUGGGGAGGAACAAUUCCAAGGUCACUUGGCAAGGAGAGAGAAAAGGAAGACGAGAAAUGCUCUGGACCUGUAACAGUAAGUCUUCUGAGUGUCCUGGGACCAGCCUGCCAGGGAGGGCAUGGGAAAAUCCUCAGCCCAAAUUCUCAGCCCAAAUCCCUCCCUAUGGAGACGGCAUCUCAGUCAGCUCUUUUAGCUGCCUGUAGGGGGCGCGCCUGCCACACUCUGGGUUGAAAGGGAGAGAAAAGACGGUUGAUUCCCAGCUCAGGAACCAAGCUGUCUAGAGACAUUUUCUUUUCUUUUUUUUUUUUAAUUUAUUAUUAUUAUACUUUAAGUUUUAGGGUACAUGUGCACAAUGUGCAGGUUAGUUACAUAUGUAUACAUGUGCCAUGCUGGUGCGCUGCACCCACUAACUCGUCAUCUAGCAUUAGAUAUAUCUCCCAAUGCUAUCCCUCGCCCCUCCCCCCACCCCACAACAGUCC